GACGAACGCUGGCGGCGUGCCUAAUACAUGCAAGUAGAACGCUGAAGGAGGAGCUUGCUUCUCUGGAUGAGUUGCGAACGGGUGAGUAACGCGUAGGUAACCUGCCUGGUAGCGGGGGAUAACUAUUGGAAACGAUAGCUAAUACCGCAUAAUAGCAGUUGUUGCAUGACAACUGUUUGAAAGGUGCAAUUGCACCACUACCAGAUGGACCUGCGUUGUAUUAGCUAGUUGGUGGGGUAACGGCUCACCAAGGCGACGAUACAUAGCCGACCUGAGAGGGUGAUCGGCCACACUGGGACUGAGACAAGGCCCAGACUCCUACGGGAGGCAGCAGUAGGGAAUCUUCGGCAAUGGACGGAAGUCUGACCGAGCAACGCCGCGUGAGUGAAGAAGGUUUUCGGAUCGUAAAGCUCUGUUGUAAGAGAAGAACGAGUGUGAGAGUGGAAAGUUCACACUGUGACGGUAUCUUACCAGAAAGGGACGGCUAACUACGUG
rnacentral:rRNA from 1 species